GACCCUAUAGAGUUUUAUAUUUAAUAAGAUUUAUUUUUUUUAGAAUUUAUAAAUUGAAUUUUAUUAUGUAUUUGAUUGGGGUGAUUGAAAAAUUAAAUAAACUUUUUUUAUAUAAUUACAUUAAUUUAUGAAUAAUUGAUCCAUUAAUUAUGAUUAUAAGAUUAAAUUACCUUAGGGAUAACAGCGUAAUUUUUUUUGAGAGUUCAAAUCGAAAAAAAAGAUUGCGACCUCGAUGUUGGAUUAAAAUAAAUAUUUGGUGUAGAAGCUAAAUUAAUUGGGUCUGUUCGACCUUUAAAAUUUUACAUGAUCUGA
rnacentral:rRNA from 1 species